UACGUAGGGGGCCAGCGUUGCUCGGAAUUACUGGGCGUAAAGGGUUCGUAGGUGGUGCGGCAAGUUGGAAGUGAAAUCUCUGGGCCUAACCCAGAGGCUGCUUUCAAAACUGCCGCGCUCGAGUGCGAGAGAGGUCAGUGGAAUUGCAGGUGUAGCGGUGAAAUGCGUAGAUAUCUGCAGGAACACCCGUGGCGAAGGCGGCUGACUGGAUCGCAACUGACACUGAGGAACGAAAGCUAGGGGAGCAAACAG
rnacentral:rRNA from 1 species